GAUGAACGCUGGCGGCGUGCUUAAGACAUGCAAGUCGAACGCAGACGCUUGAGCAAUCGAGCGUCUGAGUGGCGAAUGGGUGCGUAACACGUAGGUGACCUGCCCCGCCGUGGGGAAUAACAGGCCGAAAGGCCUGCUAAUACCCCAUGCGGACGCCGGGACUUGAGACCCGGCGCCCAAAGGCUUCGCAAGAAGUCGCGGUGGGAGGGGCCUGCGGCCCAUCAGGUAGUUGGUAGGGUAAUGGCCUACCAAGCCGACGACGGGUAGGGGACCUGAGAGGGUGACCCCCCACAUUGGCACUGACACACGGGCCAAACUCCUACGGGAGGCAGCAGUCGGGAAUAUUGCCCAAUGGCCGAAAGGCUGAGGCAGCAACGCCGCGUGCGGGAUGACGGCCUUCGGGUUGUAAACCGCUUUUCGGGCGGACGAGGAAGGACGGUACGCCCGGAAUAAGGUGCGGCUAACUACGUGC
rnacentral:rRNA from 1 species